UAACGGAUUAUAGCUUGCUUUAAUUGUCAGCUAAGUGGCGCACGGGUGAGUAAUAUAUAGGUAACAUGCCUUCGAGAAGGGGAUAACGUUUGGAAACGGACGCUAAUACCCUAUAUGCCUUUAAGUCUUAAGACUGCAAGGGAAAUAUUUAUAGCUCGAAGAUUGGCCUGUACAGUAUCAGUUAGUUGGUGAGGUAAUGGCUCACCAAGACAAUGACGCUUAACUGGUUUGAGAGGAUGAUCAGUCACACUGGAACUGAGACACGGUCCAGACUCCUACGGGAGGCAGCAGUGGGGAAUAUUGCACAAUGGACGAAAGUCUGAUGCAGCAACGCCGCGUGGAGGAUGACACAUUUCGGUGCGUAAACUCCUUUUAUAUAGGAAGAUAAUGACGGUACUAUAUGAAUAAGCACCGGCUAACUCCGUGCCAGCAGCCGCGGUAAUACGGAGGGUGCAAGCGUUACUCGGAAUCACUGGGCGUAAAGAGAAUGUAGGCGGAUAGAUAAGUUUGAAGUGAAAUCCAAUGGCUCAACCAUUGAACUGCUUUGAAAACUGUUUAUCUAGAAUAUGGGAGAGGUAGAUGGAAUUUCUGGUGUAGGGGUAAAAUCCGUA
rnacentral:rRNA from 1 species